AGCACAGUGAAUUUACUACAUUCCUGUAUUGUUGACAUACUUGGCCAUAGACAUUGCUGCAGUGUAUGUGUGGCUCAGCACCGACCAGGAGUAUACUUUCACCUGUCCAGUUCUUUUACAUCAAUGCAAAUGAAGGAAAGGAGACGUGAAGAGGAAGGCGCUUCAGAUUACUGAGAUGCACUCAUAGAUUUCCUGCUACCCUCAUCCUCUACACUUGAGGAAACAUCAGGCACCCUACAGGGCAAUACUACUUGGACAAACCAAAUCAUUGUGACCCAGACACCUGGUAUGGUGAAAAUGAUAGCUGGUGGCACGGUGACUUUGGAGUGCCACGUUGAUCAGAUUCUCACCUAUUGCCACUCUGUGACUUGGAUGAAAGUAGACCCCAGGACUGGAACAAUGAGCACAAUAACAAACGUAAAGAUUAAUACGACCUCUGAGGAAGGGCAACGGGACAGAGUAUGUUCGGCAACCAUCACCAACGCAAUAGUGAGCGACUCUGGCAUGUAUUACUGUUUGGCUGUUCACUCGAAGGCGGUCCACACUGGCAAUGGAUCCAAUCUAAUCGUCACAGAGAGCAGCACUGAAUUUCCAACCAUCAAAAUCAUCUCAUCAUCAGACAGUGACGGCUCCUCCGCCCCUCUGCUGUGUUUGGUGUCAGGAGUGGUCCCGUCUCAGGUCCAUGUGUUCUGGCUCAUAGACGGGAGAAAGGAGAGAGGACUUACUGAUUCCACCUGGACAGACAACAGUGAUUCAGCCACAGAGUUCACUAGGAACCAGAUUCUGGUCCAGGCAGAGGAGUGGGACAGAGGGGUGCAGUGUACAUGUGUGGUGGAGUUUGAGGGAAAUUCUACUACCAAAACUGUGCAAAGAAUAGAUCUUGGCGUGCUGUGUUACGUCACAGUGUGGAUAUACAGACUCCUGGGAAUAACUGCCUGGCUUCUGCUGUUGAUCAUGGCUGCCACUGUGGCAGCAUGCAGAGGCAAAAACAGAGGUGUUCAGAGGAAUGAUACCUCAAAGAACAGGGGAAAAAGGCAUAAUUCAUCAUAAAAAGGAAAAGGUUUUAUAGUUUUUCAUUUGUACAAAGUCAUUUUGGCAGCAUUGACA